rnacentral:lncRNA from 1 species
AAACACUGUUAUGCAAAGUGAUAAAUAUGAAAUUUAAGAGAAUGAGUCUUUUAUGUGUAGUAAUAGAUGCAGUGCACUGAGCCCAGCGAGGGAUUGAGGAGACCUUGCCCUGGCAAGAGCUGGCCUUCGUGCGUGUCCUCUGGCCAGGAGAGAAACUUUCCGCUGUGCUGCCCCUCCAGCCUCCUCAAGAGCAACGAAGGCAAGUGCUUCCAGGGGCCAACUCAUCAGCCCAGAUGCUGAUUCAGCCCAAGAAUAUUUAACGGCAGCAGAAAAAUGGAUCACACCAGAGGAUUUUCUCCUUGAAGAGGAUUUCACCCUGUUCUACUCAGAGAUGGAAAUUUCUGAGACCCCACUUCCUCUGCGUGUGCCGUCCUUGCUGCUGGCUCCUUCAGCGACACGCGGGAUCCUGCCAACGCGGGGUUGUGGCAGCCACAUGGAUGAAUAUGGGUGUCCCCAACAGUCCACCAGUUCAGACCUUCAUCGCUCUGUAAGGUUUACUUAA